rnacentral:rRNA from 1 species
AACGAACGCUGGCGGCAGGCCUAACACAUGCAAGUCGAACGCUCGUAGCAAUACGAGAGUGGCAGACGGGUGAGUAACACGUGGGAACCUUCCCUUCGGUCGGGAAUAGCUCAGGGAAACUUGAGGUAAUACCGGAUACGCCUUACGGGAAGGAUUAUCGCCGAAGGAUGGGCCCGCGUCGGAUUAGCUAGUUGGUGAGGUAACGGCUCACCAAGGCGACGAUCCGUAGCUGGUCUGAGAGGAUGAUCAGCCACACUGGGACUGAGACACGGCCCAGACUCCUACGGGAGGCAGCAGUGGGGAAUAUUGGACAAUGGGCGGCAAGCCUGAUCCAGCCAUGCCGCGUGAGUGACGAAGGCCUUAGGGUUGUAAAGCUCUUUUUGGGCGGGGAAGAUAAUGACGGGUACCCGCAGAAAUAAGCUCCGGCUAACUUCGUGCCAGCAGCCGCAGUAAC